UACGUAGGGCGCAAGCGUUGUCCGGAAUUAUUGGGCGUAAAGAGCUCGUAGGCGGCUUGGUCACGUCGGGGUGUGAAAGCCCGGGGGCUUAAACCCCGGGUCUGCAUUCGAUACGGGCUAGCUAGAGUGUGGUAGGGGAGAUCGGAAUUCCUGGUGUAGCGGUGAAAUGCGCAGAUAUCAGGAGGAACACCGGUGGCGAAGGCGGAUCUCUGGGCCAUUACUGACGCUGAGGAGCGAAAGCGUGGGGAGCGAACAGG
rnacentral:rRNA from 1 species